AAGUCGUAACAAGGUUUCCGUAGGUGAACCUGCGGAAGGAUCAUUAAUGAAUUGUAUAGGGAGUUGAUGCUGGCAGUUUUCUGCAUGUGCUCGCUUCCGACAUUCUAUCCUAACACCUGUGCACACUAUAGGAGGUCUGACGAACACUUUUCCGUUUCGGACUUGUGCGAAUCAGCCUUCUUUCUCAUAAACUCUUAUGAAUUAUUGAACGUGAUUGUGCCGCAAGGCCAUUAACUUAUACAACUUUUAACAACGGAUCUCUUGGCUCUC
rnacentral:misc_RNA from 1 species